rnacentral:rRNA from 1 species
AUUGAACGCUGGCGGCAGGCCUAACACAUGCAAGUCGAGCGAUCGGCGGACGGGUGAGUAAUGUAUGGGGACUGCCCGAUAGAGGGGGAUAACUACUGGAAACGGUAGCUAAUACCGCAUACUAUCGGAUAACCCAUAUGGGAUUAGCUAGUAGGUGAGGUAAUGGCCCACCUAGGCGACGAUCCCUAGCUGGUCUGAGAGGAUGAUCAGCCACACGGGGACUGGGACAGGGCCAAGACUCCUACGGAGGAAGCAGUGGGGAAUAUUGCACAAUGGGCGCAAGCCUGAGGCAGACAUGCCGGGUGGAGGAAGAAGGCCCUAGGGUGGUAAAGUACGUUCAGUCGGGAGGCGUUACCGAAAGAAGAAGCAACGGCUAACUCCGUGCCAGCAGCCGCGGUAAUAC